CGCGAUCCGCCGGACGAAUCGCCGCGACAAUCGCCGCCUAGAUUCCGCAAAUUUCUCACAGAUUUUCUUUGGUGUGAUCUGGUGUGGCUGCAAGCAAUGCUAUGGCGUGCGUGCUGUUCUUUUGCUUUCUUCCCCCUCUCUCUCUCCCCCUCUUCUCUUUUUCGUGCAUGAUUGUGCGCUGGGGCUGCUGGGGGAGGAAUCUACUCAGCGUGCAUCGGCGUCAAAGAUUCCCUCUUUGGGACUCGAUUUUGAUGGCUGCCUUGUCGAAUUCUGGAAAAGCUUAGUGCGGUCUAGUGCUGUCCGUGCCUGUGAUCUCGCCGUGCAAUCCCAGUAGAAGAGAGAGUCGUCGAUCGAUCGAUCGAUCGAUCAAUCAAUCAAGCUUAAUCUCCUCCUUCUCACUCGUCUGAGAUAAAUCGUGUCAGCGCGGCAGCCAUGGAAGUGGUCUUCUGGUCCUCGUGUAGUGUCCUUGUCUGUGACACUCUUUCAUUAUUACACCAGCGCAGCUUGAAUGAGCUAUGGCGCGCCUCACUUUUUUUCUUCUCUCCCAUGCUUUUCUUUCCAAUUCUCCUCUUGAGAGAAAUUCAUGAGAGAUCUGCCCGUCGUUUUCCAUGGCUUUGCAUUGCUUGCUCCGGACUCUUUGUUUCCAAGCGUGUACUGCGCUUGCUUGCUUGGAACAUUUCUUCUGUUCUUCGUCUCGAUCAUGCUUGAUUUGCUCGUUUUGUAACAGCAGGCUUACAUGUGUGCUGCGUUCUUGUGUGUGAAGUGUGGCAUCUAAUUCUUUAAACUUUCACAGUCACUACACACAUACACACUCUUUGGGCGUUGCAGUUUCUUCAUCAUACCAUCCUGGCAAAAAACUUACUCGCCAUCAAGGACGAUUGGAUCUGGAUGUCUGAAUUCCUUCAGUCGGGGAAAGUCAAGGCAAUUCAUUGCUUGGUAGAUGCAAGGUCAAGUCAGGAGCUGCGAUGAGAUCGACACACACAGCCAGCAACCGCAGCCAGCAACCGCAGCGUUCAGCUUUUCCAUUGAUGAUGAUCCAUCUCCGAGAGGACUGGAACUCUUCUUAAAUGCAUCACUUGAUCAGCUCGCUCGCUCUCCUAUUCUUAACGAAAGCAAAAGGAAAAAAGUAAAAAAGAGAACGAUAUGAACAACGGAAUCGAAGAACAACAACAAAAUACAGGUUUCUUUUUUCCUUUUUUUUUUGCUCUUCUCACACGGGAAGAAAGAAAAACUUACAUUCUUGUCAUGUUUUUAGAUCCUUUGAUGAGGACGGCUGAGUUGUUUUAGAUCUCCGCUCGUCCGCUGCGCGAUCACUUCCAACGAACGCUUCUCACUACUGAAUGAUUUGAAAGGUAAGAGUGUGACAAUGUGGGUCGGGCUCUUGCAUUUCUCUCCAUUCUUUUCUUCUUCAUUCUCUUGAAGCUUUUGUGGUUCUUCCAUUCUUUUGUGUUGGAGAUCUCGUGACUGAUUUCUACAAGGGAGGUUAGUCUUUUGUUUUGAUUUGGUCGUGCGCUUCCAUGAGUGUUUGAGUCCUGAGUGAGAGCGCUGUGGGGAUUAGCACCACUCUCACCUCACGAUUUAGCAGCCGCAGUGUCAGGGAAAUCUUUGAUUACUUCCUGGCUACGUUGUUUUCCUUUUUUUUUUCCUCUCCCGUCUCUCGUCUCUCGUCUCUCAGCGUCUCUCGUCUCUCUUUUCUCUGUGCUGCUGCCUUG
rnacentral:lncRNA from 1 species